GAUGAACGCUGGCGGCGUGCCUAAUACAUGCAAGUCGAGCGAACGGACGAGAAGCUUGCUUCUCUGAUGUUAGCGGCGGACGGGUGAGUAACACGUGGAUAACCUACCUAUAAGAAUGGGAUAACUUCGGGAAACCGGAGCUAAUACCGGAUAAUAUUUUGAACCGCAAGGUUCAAAAGUGAAAGAAGGUCUUGCUGUCACUUAUAGAUGGAUCCGCGCUGCAUUGGCUGGUUGGUAAGGUAACGGCUUACCAAGCGAACAGUGCCUAGCCGACCGAAAAGGGGCAUCGGCCACACUGGACCGGGCCCACGGUCCAGACUCCUACGGGGGUCACCAGCAGGGAAUCUUCCACAAUGCGCGCAGGCCUGACGGAGCAACGCCGCGUGAGUGAUCAAGGUCUUCGGAUCGUAAAACUCUGUUAUUAGGGAAGAACAUAUGUGUACGUGACUGCGCACAUCUUGACGGUACCUAAUCAGAAAGCCACGGCUAACUACGUG
rnacentral:rRNA from 1 species